AACUAGUUCGACUCGGAGUUGCUUCGGGCUACGAAAACGGCCUUCGGUGAUUUCUUCGAGAAACGCUGUCAUCUUUCAGAAAGGCAUGAAUGCACGCACUGGCGCCCAAAUAAGAAUUUUAAGCAACACCCUUCAUUUGUAUUAUUCACGUCUCAGGGGAAUGUGGUACUGUUUGAAAAGCCGGAUCAAAAACUCGUGCAUCGUGUUUCAUCAUAGGUUCCAAACACCUCGAAAUCGAAUAAAAGCACUCGGCCUAAUCGUCCUUGUGUUUUCAUUUAGUUUCUCGUUGUAUGGAAGAUGAAAACACAAUAUAUUACAUCAAACGCUCGUAAACUGGGUGCAAAAGGUGUACGUAUGACGACCCUUGUACGGAUGGAGUACUGAGAAUUAAAUUUCAAGCAGCAGCUUUUAAACCGUUCCUAGGCACAUAAUCGAAUAGUCAACAUGGUGGCAGCCUGGUUAACUUUCUAUAGUAUUUUAACGACGUUGAGGUACAAAUUCAUCAGCGAAACGUGACUUACUGAGUUUUCCUUUCAUAGAAGUUAAGACAACAAGAUAUGACUAACGCGACUUAAAGGUAUAAAUCGAAGAUUUGGUUGACUACUGAAUCAUCGAAAAUCGUUUGAUCCA